rnacentral:rRNA from 1 species
CCAGACUCCUACGGGAGGCAGCAGUGGGGGAUAUUGCACAAUGGGGGAAACCCUGAUGCAGCGACGCCGCGUGAGUGAAGACGGCCUUCGGGUCGUAAAGCUCUGUCAAUCGGGACGAAGAAGAUGACGGUACCGAUGAGGGAAGCUCCGGCUAACUACGUGCCAGCAGCCGCGGUAACACGUAGGGAGCAAGCGUUGUCCGGAAUUACUGGGUGUAAAGGGAGCGUAGGCGGGAAUGCAAGUUGGAAGUGAAAGGUAUGGGCUCAACCCAUGAACUGCUUUCAAAACUGUAUUUCUUGAGUGAAGUAGAGGCAGGCGGCAUUCCUAGUGUAGCGGUGAAAUGCGUAGAUAUACGGAGGAACACCAGUGGCGAAGGCGGAUUGCUGGACAGUAACUGACGCUGAGGCGCGAAAGCGUGGGGAGCAAACAGGAUUAGAUACCCGAGUAAG